UUUAUUUAUUAUCUACUCAGCUCAGUGUUUGAUUGUUCAAUAAUUUAAAUACACUUGUUUAAAAUUGCAAUUUAUGAAUGAAAUUACUCGAAAGAUUAUUGUAAGUAAUAUAAUUUAUUAGGUGGUAAUUUUAUCUCAGUUGCAUGACAUGACACUGCACUGAUUUUCAGAGAUAAUAAUAGAUACAUUUUCCAACCUCAACUGAAAUGACAAAUUACGUUCCUAAUGAUUUCUACUUUAUUAUUCAGGUAGUUUUGAAUAGUAAGUCAACUGGAAAGUAUAAUAAUUUCAUUCCACUUAAAUGGUUGUAUAAAAACUUGAACAUUAAAAGGAAUACUAUAACUUGUGAAGUUGUUUCGACAGAGUCAUUGUGGGGGAGAAGUUCGAGGUUGGUAAUGCUAAACUUAGGAUUUUAUAAGGUUUCAAAGGCAUCUCUCUUUAUAUUUGAACGAAACGUGUAGUGUAAUAUGGACCAGUAAUUUUGAAUUACGUGACUUAAUACAAAUUAAUAGUGUUGAGUUUAUGAUGUAAUACAUUAAGUUUGUUGCUUCUUUUUUAUUUUUGGAUCCAUAUUAAUAAAUAUAAGAGCAAUGCCAAGGAGGAUUUGUUGUUCUAUUUGAAA